UCAACGCAGGGAAAAGCGGGGAUAGGGCGGGUAACUGGGCUGAUCCCCGUCCCCUUCCCGGUCUAUGUAACGGAAGUCUGCCGACUUUCUCUCCAUUCUCGGUUUAAUCGAGAUUUCCGAUCGCAGACCUCCUCUUCCCUAAGCUUCACAUCAGCGGCGUUGACACUAUGCUUCCAGAAGUCGUCCGGCAGGCCACAUGCUCCGACUCGCGCGGGUCUAUGAUUCUCGCCAAUUUUAGAGUGAAUUCCAGCAUCGGCAGCAGCAUGGCAAGCAGCUGGUACAACAUCUGAAAUCUGAAUAUCAUGGCAGCCGAGGAAUCAGUGGACAAUGAACUCCACGUCACAUUAGUGGACUAAACAAUAAUUAUCUGGCUUCUGCUUCUUUAGGAAUCACUGGGGGAUUAUGGAUUUACAAAUCCUAUCUAAAUAAACUUGUUUUCUUUUGCAAAAAGGAAAGGAAGAAUAGAAUACCAGAAAUGGCUACUAAGAACUAAGAAGGAAGGGAUGGUUAAUGAGAGGCCUAAAAGAAUUUAGUUAAUGAGGUAGGUAUUGGGCCAGAGAAGGGAGAUGACCCACGACAUAGCUGUAAGGAGCAGAACCAAACGAAAGUUUAAUGCAGCCAUGCAGAAGAAGUGCUAUUGUUUUCGGGUUCAUGACACAUGUAAUCGAUCUUGCCCUCGCGGAUCUGCACAUUGUCAAAAAGAAAUUUAGUGUCUGAUGGAGCUGGUAGCAUACAGUGAGUUGAUUUAAAUUCCUCCUUUCUAUGUGAUCUAGAGUUUCGUGGGGCUCUGUUUCCGACUGCAAAAUUCAUUGUUGGAGCUGGUAGAGACUUUGUAUCAGCAAAGAGCAAAGGGGGACGGGUUUCAAAGAUAUAUUCAUAUUCAAUUAGGCAAUGUUUAGCCAAACAAAGCUGAAUUUCAAACCAUUUUUUUUUCUAAAGA